UUCUUCCUUGUCUUGGGGAGCAUAAUGUCCAGUGAACGUGUAGUGAGGGCAUUGAUGCUGACAAACCCAUCUUAAAGAGCAGGAUCUUGAAGGUCCUGUUUCUUUGUAAACCCCCGUCCGUCGGUUCGCUUUCAAACAGCUGUACCAGGUGGUCGGAAUUUUUGAAGCGUCCCUUUACUUUACAAGGGAUGUG
rnacentral:ncRNA from 21 species